rnacentral:rRNA from 1 species
AUUGAACGCUGGCGGCAUGCUUUACACAUGCAAGUCGAACGGUAACAGGUUAAGCUGACGAGUGGCGAACGGGUGAGUAAUGCAUCGGAACGUGCCCGGUCGUGGGGGAUAACGCAGCGAAAGAUGCGCUAAUACCGCAUACGAUCUGAGGAUGAAAGCGGGGGACCGUAAGGCCUCGCGCGAUCGGAGCGGCCGAUGUCAGAUUAGGUAGUUGGUGGGGUAAAGGCUCACCAAGCCGACGAGCUGUAGCUGGUCUGAGAGGACGACCAGCCACACUGGGACUGAGACACGGCCCAGACUCCUACGGGAGGCAGCAGUGGGGAAUUUUGGACAAUGGGCGCAAGCCUGAUCCAGCAAUGCCGCGUGCAGGAAGAAGGCCUUCGGGUUGUAAACUGCUUUUGUACGGAGCGAAAAGGCUCUCUCUAAUACAGGGGGCUCAUGACGGUACCGUAAGAAUAAGCACCGGCUAACUACGUGCCAGCCGCCGCAGUAA